rnacentral:rRNA from 1 species
AUUGAACGCUGGCGGCAGGCCUAACACAUGCAAGUCGAGCGGGGUUUUCGGACCUAGCGGCGGACGGGUGAGUAAUGCGUAGGAAGCUACCCGAUAGAGGGGGAUACCAGUUGGAAACGACUGUUAAUACCGCAUAAUGUCUACGGACCAAAGUGUGGGACCUUCGGGCCACAUGCUAUCGGAUGCGCCUACGUGGGAUUAGCUAGUUGGUGAGGUAAUGGCUCACCAAGGCGACGAUCCCUAGCUGGUUUGAGAGGAUGAUCAGCCACACUGGAACUGAGACGCGGUCCAGACUCCUACGAGAGGCAGCAGUGGGGAAUAUUGGACAAUGGGCGCAAGCCUGAUCCAGCCAUGCCGCGUGUGUGAAGAAGGCCUUCGGGUUGUAAAGCACUUUCAGUAGGGAGGAAGCGUUGUGUGUUAAUAGUACACAGCGUUGACGUUACCUACAGAAGAAGCACCGGCUAACUCUGUGCCAGCAGCCGCAGUAAGAC